CCUACGGGUGGCAGCAGUGAGGAAUAUUGGGCAAUGGAGGCAACUCUGACCCAGCCAUGCCGCGUGAGUGAAGAAGGUUUUCGGAUUGUAAAGCUCUUUCGGAUGUGACGAUGAUGACGGUAGCAUCUAAAGAAGCCCCGGCUAACUACGUGCCAGCAGCCGCGGUAAUACGUAGGGGGCAAGCGUUGUUCGGAAUUACUGGGCGUAAAGGGAGGGUAGGCGGGUUUGUAAGACUGUGGUGAAAUCCCAGGGCUUAACCUUGGGAUUGCCAUUAAAACUAUUGGACUAGAAUUACAGAGAGGUUAGUGGAAUACCCAGUGUAGAGGUGAAAUUCGUAGAUAUUGGGUAGAACACCAGUGGCGAAGGCGACUAUCUGGCUGUACAUUGACGCUGAGGCUCGAAGGCAUGGGGAUCAAACAGGAUUAGAUACCCGGGUAGUC
rnacentral:rRNA from 1 species